UCUGUUUUGUACCGUUGCAGUUUCCACUUGUUGGAAUUAAUAGGGAACCGUGUGAAAUUCACGGGCUGUUGCGCAACUGUAAGCACAUCGAAGGCGUUUGUCAUUUAUCUCCACUGUCCGCAGGGCUGUUUCGGGGACGGGAAGGAGGACAGGCGCUGUGCGAGCCAGGAGACCUGCUGUAACGGAGUGACAACGC
rnacentral:ncRNA from 19 species